rnacentral:rRNA from 1 species
GUCGAUUCGAUUUACCUUCGGGUAUUGAGGAUGGCGGACGGGUGAGUAACGCGUAAGGAACUUGCCUCUUGGUCUGGGACAACUGUUGGAAACGACAGCUAAUACCGGAUAUUAUGAGAUUCUCGCAUGGGAAACUUAUGAAAGCUAUAUGCGCCAAGAGAGAGCCUUGCGUUCCAUUAGCUAGUUGGUGGGGUAACGGCCCACCAAGGCGACGAUGGAUAGCCGGCCUGAGAGGGUGAACGGCCACAAGGGGACUGAGACACGGCCCUUACUCCUACGGGAGGCAGCAGUGGGGAAUAUUGGACAAUGGACCAAAAGUCUGAUCCAGCAAUUCUGUGUGCACGAUGAAGGUCUUCGGAUUGUAAAGUGCUUUCAGUUGGGAAGAAGCAAGUGACGGUACCAACAGAAGAAGCGACGGCUAAAUACGUGCCAGCAGCCGCGGUAAUACGUAUGUCGCAAGCGUUAUCCGGAUUUAUUGGGCGUAAAGCGCGUCUAGGCGGAAAAAUAAGUCUGAUGUUAAAAUGCGGGGCUCAACUCCGUAUUGCGUUGGAAACUGUUUUUCUAGAGUACUGGAGAGGUGGGCGGAACUACAAGUGUAGAGGUGA